CGCGUGAGGGAGGAAGGCCUUUGGGUUGUAAACCUCUUUUAAUAGGGAAGAAAAAAAUGACGGUACCUAUUGAAUAAGCAUCGGCUAACUCCGUGCCAGCAGCCGCGGUAAUACGGAGGAUGCAAGCGUUAUCCGGAAUUAUUGGGCGUAAAGAGUCCGUAGGCGGUCAAUCAAGUCUGCUGUUAAAGAAGGAAUUCCCAUGGAGCUUAACUCCAUCAAAGCAGUGGAAACUGGUAGACUAGAGUCUAGGAGGGGUAGAGGUGUAGCGGUGAAAUGCGUAGAG
rnacentral:rRNA from 1 species